rnacentral:rRNA from 1 species
GAUGAACGCUGACAGAAUGCUUAACACAUGCAAGUCUACUUGAACUUCGGUUUGGGUGGCGGACGGGUGAGUAACGCGUAAAGAACUUACCUCACAGUUAGGGACAACAUUUGGAAACGAAUGCUAAUACCUGAUAUUAUGAUUUUAGGUCAUCCUAAGAUUAUGAAAGCUAUAUGCGCUGUGAGAGAGCUUUGCGUCCCAUUAGCUAGUUGGAGAGGUAACGGCUCACCAAGGCGAUGAUGGGUAGCCGGCCUGAGAGGGUGAACGGCCACAAGGGGACUGAGACACGGCCCUUACUCCUACGGGAGGCAGCAGUGGGGAAUAUUGGACAAUGGACCAAAAGUCUGAUCCAGCAAUUCUGUGUGCACGAUGACGUUUUUCGGAAUGUAAAGUGCUUUCAGUUGGGAAGAAAAAAAUGACGGUACCAACAGAAGAAGUGACGGCUAAAUACGUG